CCGCUACCAGCCCAAACCUCAACCUCUGCAGCCGCAGGCUCCCCAGCAGCCCCGCUACCAGCCCAAACCUCAGCAGCCACAACCUCAUUACCAGCCCAGUGGUAAUUUUGGCUUUCGUCUUCCUGCCGAAGCUGGUUCCAGCACAGGGGGUUCAUCAGGACUGAGUGGGACCCAUUCCAAGUAUGGAAGUAAAGGAGGCUUUGGCUCCAACUGAAGGGAUGUUUCCUUGGAGCUUUCAGCUGAUCGGCCUCAUUGACUUGAUGCUUGUAACUGAAAUAAAAAAUGCAUAUUUUUCUAA